GGGUUUGAUUAUGGCUCAGAUUGAACGCUGGCGGGAUGCUUUACACAUGCAAGUCGAACGGCAGACUUCAAUUUCGGUCUGGUGGCGAGUGAAGUGAACGGGUGAGUAAUGUAUCGAAACGUGCCUAGUAGCGGGGGAUAACUACGCGAAAGCGUAGCUAAUACCGCAUACGCCCUUCGGGGGAAAGCGGGGACCUUCGGGCCUCGUACCAUUAGAGCGGCCGAUAUCGGAUUAGCUAGUUGGUGGGGUAACGGCUCACCAAGGCGACGAUCCGUAGCUGGUUUGAGAGGACGACCAGCCACACUGGGACUGAGACACGGCCCAGACUCCUACGGGAGGCAGCAGUGGGAAUUUUUUGACAAUGGGGGAAACCCUGAUCCAGCCAUCCCGCGUGUGUGCGAUGAAGGCCUUCGGGUUGUAAAGCACUUUUGGCAGGAAAGAAACGGCACGGGAUAAUACCCGUGCAACUGACGGUACCUGCAGAAUAAGCACCGGCUAACUACGUGCCAGCAGCCGCGGUAAUACGUAGGCAAGCGUUAAUCGGAAUUACUGGCAAAGCGUGCGCAGGCGGUUCGGAAAGAAAGAUGUGAAAUCCCAGAGCUUAACUUUGGAACUGCAUUUUUAACUACUGAGCUAGAGUGUGUCAGAGGGAGGUGGACCCGCGUAGCAAAGAAUGCGUAGAUAUGCGGAGGAACACCGAUAUGGGCAGCCUCCUGGGAUAACACUGACGCUCAUGCACGAAAGCGUGGGGAGCAAACAGGAUUAGAUACCCCAGUCCACGCCCUAAACGAUGUCAACUAGCUGUUGGGGCCUUCGGGCUCCUGGUAGCGCAGCUAACGCGUGAAGCUGACCGCCCGGGAGUACGGUCGCAGAUUAAAACCUCAAAGGAAUUGACGGGACCCGCACAAGCGGUGGAUGAUGUGGAUUAAUCUGAUGCAACGCGAAAACCUUACCUACCCUUGACAUGUCUGGAAUCCCGAAGAGAUUUGGGAGUGCUCGCAAGAGAACCGAACACAGGUGCCGCAAGCAUGUCGUCAGCUCGUGUCGUGAGAUGUUGGGUUAAGUCCCGCAACGAGUUAUAACCCUUGUCAUUAGUUGCCAUGAAAGGGCACCUAAUGAGACUGCCGGUGACAAACUGAGGAAGGGGUGGGGAUGACGUCAAGUCCUCAUGGCCCUUAUGGGCAGGGCUUCACAUCAUUGCGCAAUGGUCGGGGACAGUGGUCGCCAACCCAUGAGGGGGAGCCAAUCUCAGAAACCCGAUCGUAGUCCGAUCGCAGUCUGCAACUCGACUGCGUGAAGUCGGAAUCGUUAGUAAUCGCGGAUCAGCAUGUCGCGGUAAUACGUUCCCGGGUCUUGUACACACCGCCCGUCACACCAUGGGAGUGGGUUUUACCAGAAGUAGUUAGCCUAACCGUAAGGAGGGCGAUUACCACGGUAGGAUUCAUGACUGGGGUGAAGUCGUAACAAGGUAG
rnacentral:rRNA from 1 species